rnacentral:rRNA from 1 species
CCUACGGGGUGCAGCAGUGGGGAAUAUUGCGCAAUGGGCGAAAGCCUGACGCAGCGACGCCGCGUGAGGGAUGAAGGUCUUCGGAUCGUAAACCUCUGUCAGCAGGGAAGAACGGUCACUGUGCUAAUCAGCAGUGAAUUGACGGUACCUGCAAAGGAAGCACCGGCUAACUCCGUGCCAGCAGCCGCGGUAAUACGGAGGGUGCGAGCGUUAAUCGGAAUUACUGGGCGUACAGCGCUCGUAGGCGGUAUGUCAAGUCAAGGGUGAAAUCCCCGCGCUCAACGUGGGAACUGCCUUUGAAACUGGCAAACUGGAGUGUGUGAGAGGAUAGUGGAAUUCCAGGUGUAGGAGUGAAAGCCGUAGAUAUCUGGAGGAACAUCAGUGGCGAAGGCGACUAUCUGGCACAUAACUGACGCUGAGGAGCGAAAGCGUGGGUAGCAAACAGGAUUAGAUACCCCUGUAGUC